ACAGCCCAGCGCAUAACCUCCCAGUGUACCCAUACUGUGACAGGAAUGUUGCGUUAAGGGAAAAGUCAUACAAAAGCCCUGCACUACACAAGCCUAAGUAAGGUUUGAAUUUCCACGGUAUAUUAACGUAUACUAUGACUCCACGGAGGGUGUAAGACCCGUGUGGCUGUGUGGUUAAAUGUGUAUGGGUUUGGCUUCUUCCCUGAGAGUCGCGUUGCUUGACACGGCAGCGCUAAGCAGGUCGUAAACUCGACCUAAGGCUAAAUAUAUUCGCAGAACCGAUAGUAAACAAGUACCGCGAGGGAAAGUUGAAAAGUACUCUGAAGAGAGAGUCAAAAGACUGUGAAACCGCUUAGAGUAUAAACCAAUGGCAAUCCGGAAGGCUUGGAGUACACCAUUCCCUUGUGGGAGAGGGUUCGACCUAUGUAAGAAUGAGGGCUAGAUGGGCAAGAAAGUGGCCUUGAGUGGAUACCACGGCACCCGAAUCUUGCGGGUCACUGACAGUGGUAACAGGGAACGUUCUAAUGAGGAACUGAACCGAGGCUGGACUUGCGCAAGCAUCUACUAUAGAGACAAUGGUUGAGAUACUUAUAAACAGCCGCACCGCAAUCCUUUGAAAGGUCUACCUUACGACGUGCUCGUCCCUUAUACUUGACGUGACGUGUAACCGAGAAAUAUACAGUCCCGCUUUCUCGGGGCGGCCGUCUUGUACCACGAGCAUUCCAAACGUAAGUGUCAAUGAUCCUAAGCGAAGAUUGAAAUACUGACCGACCUAAGCUCUGAAACUACCCGGACGGUGUGACAACCCGUGCAACGGCCUGGCGUCACCAUAUUCGCGGUCAGUCCGUUGAGUGGAGGUCGAGUGGUGUAUUAUUUCCAGAGCCAUCGGUCACGUCUCGAAACACGGGCCAAGGAGCAUAGCAUGUGCGCAAGUCUAAGGGAUAAGUAAUCCUGGAGGCGAAGUGAAAGCAAAUGGCGUGGCCCGGGCGUAUUCCUUUGCUCCUUGUUGGCCAGCAGGUUGUUGCGUAAUUCCUACGUGGAUGAAUGCGUCUUCUGCUUAAACCGGGUUGAUCCUUCUUAAUCAAGGCUUCAUGCCGAUAAGUCGGCGCAAACCCCAGGCUCUCUUUACAGGGUACGUAUUCUUGGGAGCACUGCAGAGCGUGCAUGCUAUGACCCGAAAGAUAGUGAACUAUGCCUGGCGA
rnacentral:rRNA from 1 species